rnacentral:sRNA from 1 species
GAUGGAGAAGAGCAGCCCGGGCCGGUCAGAGCACACGCCUGUGAAGCAGAAGCGCAGCUUCCAGUAGAAGAGGUGCUCCCAGAUGAAGAUGCCCGUAAGCCACAGUGUCUCCAGCUCCUCCAUCUCACCUGCACAGAACACAGCAGCCACAGGCAGUGAGGACCCAAGCGCAGGCCUUGGUGUAGACCCUUCUGAGGUGGGAACAGGCAGUCAGUCUCAGGAGGAGUUCAGGCAUUGCUGCUGGAAGUAUGACUGGUUGUAUACAGACAGAAACCUCGCAGAACCAGCACAGGAUGACCAUCGGACCAUCAACAUCACUCAUUUGAGAAUUCCAAAGUGCACAAGUGAAUGCUUCACUGGAAAAUGUAUAGGACUAGUCAAGGCAGAAAUGCUGCAAAGAUUCAUUAGCAACAACAUUGAAAAGCACACAGGGGAAAUUUUGUUCAAUAUACUACAUACCAGUGAAAAGCCAAAGAGUUAUCUGUGUUGUAAAAGGCACAAAGGAGGAGUGGGAGCAGGGCUGAGGGGUGCUUACACAUCAUCUAGCAUCAUAUUUGUAUGUGAAAUUACAAAGAUGAGCAAAAAUAAGAAAGUCAAAUUGAAAAACCUUAUGAACAUUAUUUGAUCCUCCCGUUCAUUUGAAGGCCAAAAAUAGGCAAACCUCACCCACAAUUGUGGAGGGAAGUGUGGUUAUUUUGAGGGGAAUGCGGGCCCCUAAGGAAGCUUUCUGGGUCAUGAACUGCAUCUUAAAAGGGAGGCAGUUGCACAACUGUACAAAAAUUAAUGAGGCUUUGGGACUUGUGCUAUAUAAUGACUGCACAGCAUAUUUCUCAACUGACUGAAAGGAAGGUGGCUAAGUGUCACAGCCAAGGCACAAGGUAGCCUUACAUUUGGGGAGUUAAGAGGAGACAGUAAAGGAAGUAUAAGAAAACAGACGUUCUAAGAGAGAACAAAACCUUCUUUCUUAAUAUACGAUAUCUUUACAAAGAGAGAGAAAAAUCCUUAAAGAGUAAAGGAGGAGCAUACUGUUAUAUUAAAGUCAAUAUUAUUAGAAUUACCUUUUAAAAACACAUAUAACUUUUAUCACUUAAACCAGAGGUCAGAAAUCUUUUGUCUGAAAGUAGCCAACUAGUAAAUGCAGCUUUCUGUUGAUAUGGUCUGUGCUGUUGAAAUUCCAUGCUGUCCUGGUGUCAAUGAGUUCUAGGUGAUGUGCAUGGCUGGGUGGCCAUCAGUGGGUAUUGACCUAGAGAGUACAGUCUAUUGGACAUUGAUUCAACAAAACAGACCAAUAAUUGGUCAUGCAGAGAAUAAGUGGAUAUGGAUUGCUCAUCCAUAAAUGGAACAUUUAUUUCACACACACACACACACACACACACACACACACACACACACACACGGGGGGGGAUGGGGCGUGUAGAAAGGGUGUAAGAACCAGAGGUUGGGGAAGAUCACUGCAAAAGAAUGUCUUCUGAAUGCAACAGAUCUGUGGUAUUCAUGUACCCAUAACAGUCAUGGAUGCUGGGACAAGACCUGCACAAGAUCAAGCUGGUCAUUAUUCCAACAUAGACAGGAAAGGGACCCACAAUGCCCCAUACCUUGCAAAGGAGUCAGUAGCAGCUGAUAGCCGAUGGGGGAGGGGAGUCAGUUUUAUUCAACAGAGUGGCCUACAGUAGUAGGUUGCCUAUGCUCUAGUGGAUGGCAUUUUAUACCCAUGUGUCAGGGUAGCAAUGAUUAAAUCAGUACAUAAUAAACAGGGAAAGAAGAGAGAAGAGGAGGAGGAAGAGGAGGAGGAGGAAAAACAGUAAGAGGAGGACGAAAAAGCAUUAAAAUGAGUGGGAGAUGUGGGAGGGUGUCUGGGAGUUGGAGUAUAGAGUAGGGGUCUGUGAAUAUGAUCUAACAGUGUAUUCAUAUACAAAAUGAUCAAAGAAAGAAUAAAAACUGAAUAAUUUUCAAACCCUUAUACAGGUGGAUGGGAAUAAAUUGCAGGGUGAGAAGAUGUUAAACACAUCAACUAAGCUUAGUGGAUACUCACUUGUUUGCCAAGAUAUCCUUAUGAAUUGUAUCAUUGAAUUUGGUGACAUUGGUGUCAUUACAACCCAUAGCUUAAAGAAGAGAAUAGUAGCCACUAGGGAAGCUUCCAAGAUUAUGGGUUAAUAAAUACCAGUUCUCAUAUUUGAUCCCAGUGUCUGUGAUCCUUCCUAUUUCCCCAUGGGCAACAUGAUUUUUUUCUAUUAAUCACUUUUUGCGUGAAAUAUUGCAACCAAAAAUUUAAUGGAUAGUAAAAUUUAAUUUUUUGUUAACUUUUGUAUAUUAAAAAUAGCCAGGUAUUGUACACAUGCCUUUAAUCUUAGAACUUGGGAGGCAGAGGCAGGCAAAGUUUUGUAAGUUUCAGGCCAGCCUUGUCUACAUAACUAGUGAUUUUGUGGUCAUCUAGAGUACAGACUAAAAUCUUGCCUCAAAAACUUUACUUAUAAAAAGGUAAAUGGUAAAAUAAGCAGCUGAUUCAAAUAUAUAACUUUUACUAUUUUCCAAUGGAAUCCAAAGUCAGGAAAUCCAGAGUCCGCAUGUAAAAAUGGUACAUUGAGGCACUGUCCAUUAUCUCAUGCAUGAGAAUGAACCUUUGGGAUAGUAAUAGCCCAUUAUAUAUCUGUGGCCAAUAAUCCUGCUGGUUCAACAUUUAAGAAUUCAUUGCAAAUGCGUUUUUAAAAAAAUUGCAGGGGUUGGGGAUUUAGCCCUGGGUUUGGUCCCCAGUUCCGAAAAAAAGAAUAAAAAAAAAUUGCAUAAAAUUUUUCUCAAUUAUCACCAUAUAAAUAAUACAUCAAAAUAUCAAACAUCAGACAAAUGUGGGAGUGGGAAAAGGGGGCUCAUCUGGGGUAGUAGGGCACAGGGCUAUGGAAGAAAAAAAUGGAAAAACAGAGGACUUUAACUAGGGAGAGGAGAGAUUAAAAAACACUAAGGAUGUUUGAAAAAGCCACCGAGAACAUUAUAUUUACUUAAAUACAUGCUAUAUAUGUACAUUUAGUUUAAAUG